GGCGGUUGGGGUCACUUUCCCAGAGUCGCUCCAAAACUGUGGGUCCGUGAGACUUUCUCCCAGGAGCCAGAAGUGUUUCAGCUUUGCAGGCGCACCGAGAUGGGAGCCGAGGGAGGGUGGCACCGCGCUUAAUGGGAAUUCAGGGAAGACAGAUUCUUUACUACUGAGCCACUGGGGAAGCCCUGCCUUAUUGAAGGCAGUGAUAUUUAACUGAGCCAAGGUGAAUGGAAAGGAUGAGCAAAGGCCCAGAGGCAAGAGAUCCUGCUGCCCAGGGAGACAGCAGCUGAGAAGUUGAGCAGAUGGCCUGGAGAAGGACUUCGGAUUUCGUUGUCCUCCCAGCACUUCGACCCUCUCCUGAAGCCCCUGGCUAAAAUGGUUUGAACCCAGAAGAAAAAAAAAAUGUGGUUGGGACUUCCUUGGUG